AUAUAUAUAUAUAUAUAUAUAUAUAUAUAUAUAUAUAUAUAGAGAGAGAGAGAGAGAGAGAGAGAGAGAGAGAGAGAGAGAGAGAGUGAGUAAGGCUACCAUGCUUUUGGAAGCACGGAGUCUUCCGUGCUUUCAGGUUAUUUUUGAUGUUGCGACUUUUGAAUCGUCGAUCGGCUCCAUUAAACUUGAUCUAGAGUAUUUGAAGUACCUAGAAAAUAAAUUUUAUGAUUUUUUGAUAUCAUUUGCCUAGUGAUCGAAGGGGCUCAAAAUCAAUAAUUUUAAUGGCCGUAGUAAGCCAUUUGCAAGUUUAACGGUGUAAAAAUAUCUAAAUCAUGUGAAAUUUUGAUAGAAAAUUUUUUAUACUAUAUAAAACAAGAUCAAUAUUUUUGAUCUAAAAUUUUAAUGUCAUAUUAUCACGUUUUGUAAGAUUUUUAUUUUCAGCCAUUGAUUUUGAGCCCCUUUAUUCACUAGGCAAAUAAUAUCGAAAAAUCGCAUAAUUUAUUUUCUAGAUAUUUCAAAUACUCUAGAUCAAGUUUAACGGAGCCGAUCAACGAUUCGAAAAUCGCAACAUAGAAAACGAUCUGGAAGCACGAAAGGCUCCGUGCUUCCAGAAGCAUAGUAGCCUCAGUCUAUAUAUAUAUAUAUAUAUAUAUAUAUAUAUAGAGAGAGAGAGAGAGAGAGAGAGAGAGAGAGAAUACUAUCAAUAACAAACGAGCUCCAUUGCCACCCAUUUGUUUUCGUUGAUAGAGCCUCCAAAUCGACGAUCGGCACAGUUGAACAUGAUCUAUACCACUUGAAGUGUUUAGAAAUCAAAUUUCAAAUCUAUUCGACAUCAUUUGCCUAAUGAUUAAAAGGUUACAAAAUUUGUAAUUUUAAUGGUCGAUAUGAGGCGUUUUCUCGUUUAACGGCAUAAAGAUAUACAAAUCAAUUAAAUUUUUGUUAAAAAAUUCUUUAAACUAUUUAAAACAAAAUCUAUACUCUUGAUCUUGACUACAAGACUCCUAUCAUCAUUUUUUAAAGAAUAUUUGUUUUUAGUCGUUCAUUUUUAUGUCCACUCGAUGGAUAAGAGAAGAAUAUCGAAAUGUAUGAAAUUUGAUUUCUAAAUACUUCAAGUGGUAUAGAUCAUGUUCAACGGUGUCGAUCGUCGAUUUGGAAAUUCCAUCAUCGAAAAUAAAUGGGUGGCAACGGAGCCCGUUGGCUACCGAUAGUAUUCUAGCUCAACUCUCUCUCUCUAUAUAUACUGGUUCCUUGUAAUCUAUCUCCAAAAUUUUGUUUCUUGCCACAGAGCUCUCAUACAGCACAAACCAAUUUGAAUCAUUUGAACGAUUUAUUUUAGAUAAAGAUGUACGGAACUUACUUGAAUUUCGGACCAUUUUGAGUUAGUUACAAUUUUUCAAUAUUUUGAUUUUACCAUUGAACCUUUCACUUUAUUUAAUUUGANAGAGAGAGAGAGAGUUGAGGUAGAAUACUAUCAAUAACAAACGGGCUCCAUUGCCACCCAUUUGUUUUCGUUGAUAGAGCCUCCAAAUCGACGAUCGGCACAGUUGAACAUGAUCUAUACCACUUGAAGUGUUUAGAAAUCAAAUUUUAAAUCUUUUCGACAUCAUUUGCCUAAUGAUAAAAAUGUUUCAAAAUUGAUAAUUUUAAGGGUUGAUAUGAGGUGUUUUCUCGUUUAACGGCGUAAAGAUAUACAAAUCAAUUGAAUUUUUGUUAGAAAAUUCUUUAAACUAUUUAAAACCAGAUCUAUACUCUUGAUCUUGACUACAAGACUCCUAUCAUCAUUUUUUAAAGAAUAUUUAUUUUUAGUCGUUUAUUUUUAUGUCCACUCAAUGGAUAAGAGAAAAAUAUCGAAAAUGUAUGAAAUUUGAUUUCUAAAUACUUCAAGUGGUAUAGAUCAUAUUCAACGGUGUCGAUCAUCGAUUUGGAGAUUCCGUCAUCGAAAAUAAAUGGGUGGCAACGAAGCUCGUUAGCUACCGAUAGUAUUCUAGCUCAACUCUCUCUCUCUCUAUAUAGUGGUU
rnacentral:lncRNA from 1 species